AGGUUUCCGUAGGUGAACCUGCGGAAGGAUCAUUAUCGUACAAAAUGUGUGAGGCAUGCAAGGGCUGUCGCUGACUUUUGAACACAAAAGUCGUGCACGUCCGAGUGUGUCCUCUCACAUAAAAUCCAUCUCACCCUUUUGUGCACCACCGCGUGGGCACCCUUCGGGAUCAAAAAGAUCCAGGAGGGGGCUUGCGUUUUCACACAAACCCCUUUUUAAAAGUGUAGAAUGACCCCAUUUUUGCGAUAACACGCAAUCAAUACAACUUUCAACAACGGAUCUCUUGGCUCUCGCAUCGAUGAAGAACGCAGCGAAAUGCGAUACGUAAUGUGAAUUGCAGAAUUCAGUGAAUCAUCGAAUCUUUGAACGCACCUUGCGCCCCUUGGUAUUCCGAGGGGCACACCCGUUUGAGUGUCAUGAAAUUCUCAACCUUCUCGGUUUCUUCUGGACACCGAAGGAGGCUUGGACUUUGGAGGCCUUUGCUGGAACCUUUCUCUCUUGAAAGCCAGCUCCUCUUAAAUGAAUUAGCGGGGUCCUCUUUGCUGAUCCUCGACAUGUGAUAAGAUGUUUCCAUGUCUUGGUUUCUGGCUCUGUUGCUUUUGGGACCUGCUUCUAACCGUCUCAAACUUGCAUCGAGACAAUGUUUGAGCGUGUCUCCCUCCUCGGGAAACUCUCUCAACACCACGAACCCUUGACCUCAAAUCGGGUGAGACUACCCGCUGAACUU
rnacentral:rRNA from 1 species